GGGGAUGUAGCUCAUCUGGUAGAGCGCUCGCUUAGCAUCAGCUUAAUGCGAGAGGUAUUGGGUUCGACUCCCAACUUCUCCA